UUAUGACGUAUUUAAAAAAAACUACGUACUAAAUCUCGUUCAAACCAAUUUUCGGCGGAAGUUUGCAUGGUAAUGUACAUCAUAUAUUUUUUUCAGUUUUAUCAUUCUCUUAUUUUAGAAGUUACAGGGGAGGACACACAUUUUACCACUUUGGAAAUGUCUCUCGCGCAAACUAUUCAGUUUAGAAAAAAAUGAUACUGGAAACCUCAAUAUCAUUUUUGAAGACCUAUCCAUAGAUAUCCCACACGUAUGGGUUUGAUAAAAAAAAAUUUGAGUUUCAGUAAAUUGACGUAUUAAAAAAAAAACUACUUACUAGAUCAAACUAAUUUUCGGUGGAAGUUUGCAUGGUAAUGUACAUCAUAUAUAUUUUUUAGUUUUAUCAUUGUCUUAUUUUAGAAGUUACAGGGACACACACACACACACACACAUUUUACCACUUUGGAAGUGUCUCUCGCGCAAACUAUUUAGUUUAGAAAAAAAUUAUAUUAAAACCCUCAAUAUCAUUUUUGAAGACCUAUCCAAUACCCCACACGUAUGGGUUUGAUGAAAAAAAUAUAUUUUGAGUUUCAGUUCUAAGUAUGGGGAACCCCCAAACUUUAUUGUUUUUUUUUUCUAUUUUUGUGUGAAAAUCUUAAUGCGGUUCACAGAAUACAUCUACUUACCAAGUUUCAACAGUAUAGUUCUUAUAGUUUCGGAAAAAAGUGGCUGUGACAUA